rnacentral:rRNA from 1 species
GACAGAGGUGCCGAGCGUUAGGCGGAAUCACUGGGCUUAAAGCGUGUGUAGGCGGGCCGUUAAGUACCUUGUGAAAUCCCACGGCUUAACCGUGGAACUGCUGGGUAUACUGGCGAUCUUGAGCCACUUAGGGGUCAGCGGAACAAAUGGUGGAGCGGUGAAAUGCGUAGAUAUCAUUUGGAACGCCAAUGGUGAAAACAGCUGACUGGGAGUGUGCUGACGCUGAGACACGAAAGCCAGGGGAGCGAACGGG